rnacentral:rRNA from 1 species
UACGAAGGGGGGCUAGCGUUGCUCGGAAUCACUGGGCGUAAAGGGUGCGUAGGCGGGUCUUAAGUCAGGGGUGAAAUCCUGGAGCUCAACUCCAGAACUGCCUUUGAUACUGAGGAUCUUGAGUUCGGGAGAGGUGAGUGGAACUCCGAGUGUAGAGGUGAAAUUCGUAGAUAUUCGGAAGAACACCAGUGGCGAAGGCGGCUCACUGGCCCGGUACUGACGCUGAUGUGCGAAAGCGUGGGGAGCAAACAGG